rnacentral:lncRNA from 1 species
AUGGUGUGGACUCCUUCAGAGGCCGUUGAAACCCUCCAGAGUGUGUUAUGGCCAUGGAAGAAAGGACAGUCUUCAUCUUGGGAGAGCCUUAGAGAUGGCAGGGAGCCCCUUGACAUGUGGAAUGUGGUCUCCUUUGGAUGCUGGUGGAUCCCUCAGGUGGUCUGGCAUGGAAGAAGGCCAGAGGCUGUGAUGGAUGAUCUUUGUCAUGGGAGAUGCCUGGAGAUGUCAGGGAGCCCCAGGCCAUGUGUGGCACAUGUGGUGUGGCUUCUCCAGGUGCUGGUGGAUCCCUCAGGACGCUUUUCAGUUUUUCCAUGGUUUAUGUUAAAGUGUCUGCAAAUGGAGCCUAGAAGACAUGCUUCAGUUUCCAGGAUGGUUGUGUUUUCCAGAGAGGCGUAGGUAAACCACUGGUGCAGCCUUACCCUUCACAGCUAAUU